UGGGGAAUAUUGGACAAUGGGCGAAAGCCUGAUCCAGCCAUGCCGCGUGUGUGAAGAAGGUCUUCGGAUUGUAAAGCACUUUAAGUUGGGAGGAAGGGCAGUAAGCGAAUACCUUGCUGUUUUGACGUUACCGACAGAAUAAGCACCGGCUAACUCUGUGCCAGCAGCCGCGGUAAUACAGAGGGUGCAAGCGUUAAUCGGAAUUACUGGGCGUAAAGCGCGCGUAGGUGGUUCGUUAAGUUGAAUGUGAAAGCCCCGGGCUCAACCUGGGAACUGCAUCCAAAACUUGCUCGCUCGAGUAGGGCAGAGGGUGGUGGAAUUCCCUGUGUAUCGGUGAAAUGCGUAGAUAUAGGUAGGAACACCAGUGGCGAAGGCGACCACCUGAGCUCAUACUGACACUGAGGUGCGAAAGCGUGGGGAGCAAACAGG
rnacentral:rRNA from 1 species